ACACACACAGCAAUCCAGACUCUCUCUCACACACAUACACACACACCUAUCCAGACUCUCUCUCACACUCACACACACACAUACACACUCACAUACACAUUUAUUCAUAUACUCUCUCUCACACACACACACACACACUUGUACAGACUCUCUUUCAUACACACUCAUGUACACACUUAUUCAUAUACUCUCUCACACACACACAUCCCCCGCCCCCAGGACAACCUCUUCCAUCACUUUUCAUACUUGUCCACUCUCUCACCCCAAGCAAGGACAGGGAAUGCUGGGUACACUGGGAGACCGGACAGGGCUAGCUCCUCGGCUGGAGAAUGGAGGAUGAUACAUUCAGGACCACAUCUUUCCUGAGAGCUGCUUUGGAACAGGAAGAACAACUG
rnacentral:lncRNA from 1 species